CCUUUCUUCUUUGUGGCCCAAAUUGAAGAGGACACUGGAUUCCUCUGAUGGAGUUCUGCUCCCUAGAGCUGAUGCUGCAGAUGCUGCUCUCAGGGUCCUUGGGCUUGCCCCCAGCCAAUGGGAAAGAGAGGUCAAGACUGUGCUCAGCUUGGUGGACCUGAGACAUCGAGGAUCCUUCUGAAAGGAUGGCCUGAGGCUUGGAGCGUCAGAGGAAGUCUGGGGCCAACUCUGCCUCUCUGAGCUUCAGUUUUCUCUUCUCUGCAACAAGAGCAUUGGGCUGUAUAAUCCCUAGAAGGAGACCCUUCUGCUCAGGGAAGGGUCCUGCUUGGACUAUUGCAGUAGCCUCCAAGUAGCUUGAACUUUGCUCAGACUCUCCCCUCCCCAAUCUGCUAAGCAGAUUGUUGACAAGAUUCUCUGCAGUUUGCUGCUUUGAUGAUGUCCCUCUCCAGCUCCAAAUUGUUACUGGCUCUCCAUUGACUACAGGUAAAAUGCAGACUUCUCAGCCUGAUCUUCCACAAUCUGACGUCAGCCUACCUCCUCAUCCUGCCUGGGCCUGGAGGCAUGCCAGCCAAUUCAGACCACUUGCCAUUUUUCUUUUUCUCCUCUGCAUCUGGAAUUGCUGUCAGUGAAACCUUCUCUUUCCCUCAAGGAGCACCUUGAAUGCUGGCCCCACAUCACCUUCCUGACCCUGUCAGCUCAAAGAGGUUUCUCUGCAUCUGAACUCCAUGUGUUCCAGUCUCUGGGUCCUUACCAUGCACUGCUGGGGCAUGCUGUGUGCUGGCCGCCGUCCCUCCUCAUGCUCAGAAGCAGAGCCUAUGACUUAGUCACUUUGGUCUCCCCAGCGCCCAGAGCAGAUAUUUGCACAGAAGAGGAGCUCAAUAAAUGUUUGUUUAAUGAAUGAAUAUAUAAUUCUAACCCAGUGCCCUGCUUUCUUACAGUGACAUUCAAGUCAUCCUAGGCCAAAAAAAAAAAAAAAUGCCUAUUUACCUUCCAAAAUUACCUCUCAUAUUGGUCAAAAUUAAAAUAAACACUUGGCGGAUUAAGA